AUGAACCUUCGCCUCCGUUUGGUUGGGGUUAAGGGGUGGAAUAACCUCUUAACCCCCAUUUUAUUCCCAAACACUUCUAAAAAUGGGUGGGGUACCCCAGCUAACCCCACAUCAAAUGGGUUAUCCCGGGUUAGCUAACCCCACCUAACCCCACCAAACCCUAACCAAACACUAUUUUCUAUUCAUAAUAACCCACUAUCCUUACUAUCCCACCUACUCCAAUCAAACAUUAUUUUUUACUAUCCUGGACUAACUCCAACCCCCAACCAAACAAAAAAAUACUCUAAUCCAACCUUAACUCUAAACUUAACUCUAUUUUUGGAAUAACUAACUUUUUCUUAAUUCCGAAUCAAACGGUAGCGAAGGUGUUAGUUAGGAACCGUUCUAAAAAGUAAGCUACCGUUUGGUUGGGGGUUAAGGGGUGGAAUAACCUCUUAACCCCCAAUUUAUACCCAAACACCACUCUUUACUAACCCGGGUUAGUGGGGUUUACUAAUCCCACUCCCCCUCCCAACUUUAACCCCGCAUGCAUCCCGCGCGAGCCCUCACCUUUUUCUUCUUUAUCAAUCAUUAACCCUACUCCCCCUCCCAACUUUAACCCCGCACGCAUCCCGAGCCCUCAUCUUUUUCUUCUUUAUCAAUCAUUAUCUUCUUAUCCCACCUACUCGAACCAAAUAUUUUUUUUCACUAUCCUAUACUAACUCCAACCUCCAACCAAACACAAAAAAAUUUUAACCCCACUUUAAUCCUGAACUUAACCCUAUUUCUGAAAUAGUUAUUUUUUUCUUAACCCCGAACCAAACGGAGGUUAAGGGAUUACCUAAGUAUCGUAC
rnacentral:lncRNA from 1 species